CAAGUUUCUAUUGUGAGUCAUCGAUCAUGAGUAGUAUUUCUUCUUAUCAGUUUAAUAUUUGAUAUGUGAGUCAUUGAUCCACAUGAUAUUAACUCAUUUUUUUUGCAGGUUUUUUGUCCCAACCUGGAAAAGCUACAACUCAU
rnacentral:snRNA from 1 species